AAUAGAUACCCCGGUAGUCCACGCCGUAAACGAUGAGUGCUAAGUGUUAGAGGGUUUCCGCCCUUUAGUGCUGCAGCAAACGCAUUAAGCACUCCGCCUGGGGAGUACGACCGCAAGGUUGAAACUCAAAGGAAUUGACGGGGGCCCGCACAAGCGGUGGAGCAUGUGGUUUAAUUCGAAGCAACGCGAAGAACCUUACCAGGUCUUGACAUCCUCUGACAAUCCUAGAGAUAGGACUUUCCCCUUCGGGGGACAGAGUGACAGGUGGUGCAUGGUUGUCGUCAGCUCGUGUCGUGAGAUGUUGGGUUAAGUCCCGCAACGAGCGCAACCCUUGAUCUUAGUUGCCAGCAUUCAGUUGGGCACUCUAAGGUGACUGCCGGUGACAAACCGGAGGAAGGUGGGGAUGACGUCAAAUCAUCAUGCCCCUUAUGACCUGGGCUACACACGUGCUACAAUGGAUGGUACAAAGGGCUGCAAGACCGCGAGGUUUAGCCAAUCCCAUAAAACCAUUCUCAGUUCGGA
rnacentral:rRNA from 1 species